UUCACAAUCAAAAUAGCAAUAG
rnacentral:misc_RNA from 1 species